rnacentral:rRNA from 1 species
AAUCAACGCUGGCGGCGUGCCUAACACAUACAAGUCGAACGAGAAAGGGGACUUCGGUCCCUGAGUACAGUGGCGCACGGGUGAGUAACACGUGACUUAUCUACCCUCGAGUGGGGAAUAACUUCGGGAAACCGAGGCUAAUACCGCAUAAUACCCACGGGUCAAAGGAGCAAUUCGCUUGAGGAGGAGGUCGCGGCCCGAUUAGUUAGUUGGCGGGGUAAUGGCCCCCACCAAGACGGUGAUCGGUAUCCGGCCUGAGAGGGCGCACGGACACACUGGAACUGAAACACGGUCCAGACUCCUACGGGAGGCAGCAGUGGGGAAUUUUGCGCAAUGGGGGAAACCCUGACGCAGCAACGCCGCGUGGAGGAUGAAGUCUCUUGGGACGUAAACUCCUUUCGAUCGGGACGAUUAUGACGGUACCGGAAGAAGAAGCCCCGGCUAACUUCGUG